CCUACGGGGGGCAGCAGUGAGGAAUAUUGGUCAAUGGCCGGAAGGCUGAACCAGCCAUGCCGCGUGAAGGUCAGUGCCCUAUGGGCGUUAAACUUCUUUUGUGCGGGAGCAAUAAUGGUCACGUGUGGCCAGACGAGAGUACCGUACGAAUAAGCAUCGGCUAACUCCGUGCCAGCAGCCGCGGUAAUACGGGGGAUGCAAGCGUUAUCCGGAUUUAUUGGGUUUAAAGGGUGCGUAGGCUGUGAGGUAAGUCAGCGGGGAAAUGCCCCCGGUGAACGGGGUGAAGUGCACUUGAUACUGCCUUGCUGGAAUGCGGAUGCCGUGGGAGGAAUGUGUGGUGUAGCGGUGAAAUGCAUAGAUAUCACACAGAACACCGAUUGCGAAGGCAUCUCACGAAUCCGCGAUUGACGCUGAUGCACGAAAGCGUGGGUAUCAAACAGGAUUAGAUACCCGUGUAGUC
rnacentral:rRNA from 1 species